AUCUUUCAGCAACACAAUGUUUACUUCCUGGGCUGCAGGAAGGGUACCCUCACUAACCAUCCUGCCACGAGAGGACAGAGAACAAAGGAAAACACACAGCUUUAUCCCUCACGCAUUUGGGGUCGUCCUCACUGCUGUGUCUGAUCUCCGUUGGCUGGAGCCAGACCUCACAAUCUAAACUAAAUCCCGACUGGCUAAUAACUUAAAACUUUUCUAAACAGGUGAAAGCCAUGGAGAGCUGGGACAUGCCUGUGAGCACGUCCCGCACAGGUAUCUUGGUUAAAGAACAAGGACAUAGAACGUAAUGUGUGCCUGUAAGCA